AACGUAGGAGACAAACGUUCUCCGGAGUUCCUGGGCGUAAAGGGCGUGUAGGUGGUUUCGUAAGUCUGGCGUGAAAUUUCUCGGCUUAACCGAGGCAGGUCGUCGGAUACUGCGGAACUAGAGCACAGUAGAGGCAGGUGGAAUUCCCGGUGUAGCGGUGGAAUGCGUAGAGAUCGGGAAGAACAUCAGUGGCGAAGGCGGCCUGCUGGGCUGUUGCUGACGCUGAGGCGCGACAGCGUGGGGAGCAAACAGG
rnacentral:rRNA from 1 species